GAUGAACGCUGGCGGCGUGCCUAAUACAUGCAAGUCGAGCGAACAGACGAGGAGCUUGCUCCUCUGACGUUAGCGGCGACGGGUGAGUAACACGUGGAUAACCUACCUAUAAGACUGGGAUAACUUCGGGAAACCGGAGCUAAUACCGGAUAAUAUAUUGAACCGCAUGGUUCAAUAGUGAAAGACGGUUUUGCUGUCACUUAUAGAUGGAUCCGCGCCGCAUUAGCUAGUUGGUAAGGUAACGGCUUACCAAGGCGACGAUGCGUAGCCGACCUGAGAGGGUGAUCGGCCACACUGGAACUGAGACACGGUCCAGACUCCUACGGGAGGCAGCAGUAGGGAAUCUUCCGCAAUGGGCGAAAGCCUGACGGAGCAACGCCGCGUGAGUGAUGAAGGUCUUCGGAUCGUAAAACUCUGUUAUUAGGGAAGAACAAAUGUGUAAGUAACUAUGCACGUCUUGACGGUACCUAAUCAGAAAGCCACGGCUAACUACGUG
rnacentral:rRNA from 1 species